CGUAGCCUGAGAGGUGUGAGCCCCAUCCGCCACACACAACAUGGCGGCGACAUACACCUGCGUCCCACUUCCGCUUCCGCUGCCGAGACACGUCACUUCCUCCCCGGUUGCCCUGGAGCCCUGUGGAAGCUAAGAAUGCGAGGAGUCUCUGCUCCUUUCCUCUUCCAGAUUUUUGCUUCAGCUGCGGCGCAGUCUGACCGAGCAGCUUCGAGGGUCUUCCGCCAGCGGCUUGUUGGUGCGGUGGAAUCCCCCAGGGAGCUGAGCAGUUCGUGGAAUCUUCUUACCGGUACAGCUUUCACUGUUGCUUGUGUUACAGUGUGAGGUAAAGGCGAGAAGACAUUUCUCGAGUGCCCUGCUUACCUGCAACUUGACUCCUGAAGGUCAAGAGAGGCAGGUUUGCCCAGUUGUUGUGCGCGGCAUAGGGAGGACGUUUCAUCUGACAACAGGAAUGUAGCUUUUAUGCUAAUAAAAUGCUUUUAAAAUUA